CCGGAUGUACGACCAUCCGUAGCCUACUUGGGCAUGCGUCACCGGCAACGGUGAGGUGUGAAGCCCCGAGGACAAUGCACCCCCGCUUCGGCGGGAUAGGCUACCUGCGAGGGUAGCGAUCGAUACUGCCAGCAGCAAGGUGGUUAAGGGG
rfam:Noviherbaspirillum sp. Root189 contig_2, whole genome shotgun sequence.